rnacentral:lncRNA from 10 species
CCGCCAUCUGUUGAUAUCUUCCUAAUCUGUAUCUUCAAAAUAGACUUCUAUUUCAGACUUGUAUAAUUUAAUGGGAAGCAGAUGUCUCACAGACACCUCAAGCUCAACGUCCUGUUCCCACCCUCUCACUUUCUAUUGAAACUGUCUCUGCUGUCUGUACUCCCUUCCUUGUUCUUUUGCACCUGGACUAGACAGAAGACUACAGUUCAAUAAGAAGGAAACACAUUCAUUUUCAGUAUUGUUAAUAAAGAAGCUUACCUAAAAGAAGGAAAUCAAAACAAGAUAAUCUACACUGCAACUAGGGGAGGCUAUUGAAUGUGAUGGUCCCCUCAGAUGCCUAGAGGAAGAUGAACAAUGGUAAUCAGAUAUCCUAAAGUUAUCUUUAGGGCACUGGCAAAAUAGCAGCAAUGCCUGGUGGAAGCUGACUUUGUGCAUACACAUGAGAGCCCACAGAAAACUUCAAACUUCAUGGAAAUAAAACCUUCAGCUGCAGCUAAGAAUUUGGAGGUUACUGAAGGAGGUUACUUUUUCAAGAGCAGAAGUAAGGAUUCCACUGAAUUUGCUCACCAAAGAUAAGUCAGCAAAGAAAACUUACUGAAGAAUACAGGAACAUAAAUCUUAAGCAGGCUUACAUAAGGAAGGGAAGUGGUUGAAUCUGAGGUAAUUCCAUGGUGGACUUUGAAGAAAGCCUUCCAUGAGUUCCCAGUCCAUAUCCUCCAAAAGACAGCAUAUCAGCUCCUGCUUUCCAGACAAACUUCCUGGGUCUUGGGAAGAAGAAAGCCUCAGACUAAGAACUCUCUCUGGACUCAGACAGCCUGAAUUCAAAUCCCAUCUCUAUUCUUACUAGUCAUAUGAACACAGGAGAACCAUAUCCAUUCAGCUCACUUUGGACCACCUGUGGAGCCUGAUAACCAGGGAACAGAGAACCUGUUGAGAUCCAAAUUUGUGUGCCAGAUCACAAACUCAUCUGAAGCAGAUGCCACGUGUUACACUGUUAUGUCUCUCAGAGACUCCAGCACUUUGAAAGUAUUAGGCCUUGCUUAUUGAGAUGAAUAUUUUUUUCUAGGCAUGUCCCAAAGUUCUCAGCAUAGCUACAACCCUGAUUUUCACAGGAUUUUCAUUAAAAUUAGGUUCUAGAGCAUUACUUCCCUAAUGUGCAAUGCAACUUACGUUUAGUUUUCAAAUCAAAAUUAGUUUUGUUUUUCCACUGUCUUUGUCUUUGAAAAUAUUGAACUUGGGAUUUCCAAAAUUAUAAUUAGCAAUUAUUUUUACAUAUCUUUUAUAUACAUAACUUUUACAAUGGCUGCCAUUAUCAUGUAGGUUCUUAGGAAGUGUUUCUGAUCCUUGUAAAUAAAAGUGAAAGAAGAAAUCUUUACUGCUUGCUGACCCAUGUGACUAACCUUGAAAUCAGAGAGGCAGAUUCAUUUAAAACAAACUUGCAAACUGUUAAGCAAAGUACUGAAUCUCUGUGACUUGACCAAAAGUAAUUCAGACUUGACUAUUCCAGGCUCCCUUCUAUCUCUGUAGCAACCCAUGCAUCAUAGACUCCAGUUGCAAUGGAUGGUCAAGGAAUCUGCUGUGCCUUUUGAGUCUCUCCAUUUUAUAUUGCCAAAUUUAUCUUCCUUUAAUACUUCACUUCACAUAAGACACUAAGAUAAACAAGGAUGCAACUCACUUAUAUUUCAAAAUAGUACCUAGUGGUUAAAAGUACUUGUUCUGAAAGCAACUCUAUUUUUCUAGUUCUAACAUGUCUCCAACUAGUUAUCUCACCUUGAGCUUGGCACAUAAUCACUCCAUCUUACUUUUGCAUCUGUGACACAAGAAAAAUACCACCCACCUCAACAUAGAUCUUAUGAAGAUUAAAAUAAGAUUAUGAAAGUAAAAUGCUCAGCACAAUGUCUAAACGAAAAUAAAUGCUCAGCAAGUAGGAGCUACUAUAAUUAUUAUCCAGAUCAAAUAUUUUCUCCUCUAUGAAGCUUUCUUAUUCUUCCCCAGCUGGAAUUACUUAUUUUCUUCCUUGCUUUCUACACCACACUUUAGUCACCACCAUGCUGGCACUUGUCUCACCGCAUUAUAAUUAUUUAUGUGCCUGUGUUCCAUAACCAGAAUAUGGGACUUAAGCUUCUUUAUACCUCCAGCAUAAUUGUUUCAUGUGUGCUUUUAGGUAAUGGAGUAAAAUGGAUGAAUGAGUGAAUGCGACUAUAGUACUAAAUGCUCUUAGAUAAAGAUGUAAUUAUUCUUAAGUGAUAAAAUUAUUCGAACAUGAGUAGUUCAGAUAAUGAGAGACUGUCAUAGAAUUACUUGAUAAAAUCUAGUCAAUAAAAUGGCUUGGCAAUAUAACCUUUAUGAUUUCUUUAAACAAUCAUUCAUUUCUUUCUGAAGAUGAGAAGAGGAGAUUCCUUCUCCCAUCUUUAUAUUUCAACAAUGAUUAGAAAACAAAUUGAUCUCUGGGAUCAGUGCCCAAUACCAUUAAAGUGGUAUACAUCUUACAAUUCUUAAUUAAUUUGUGGCAUACAUAUACCAGUCUCCACAGCCAGCUUCAUCUGCAUACAGCAGCAUAAUCACUUUUUUCCUUAUAGUAAAGACAUAUUAUGAGUCAUCAAAGUCUUCUCCGGGGGUUGUGGUUAUCAUCUGGUAAUCACACCCUUGGGAGGUUAAAAACACUUAUCUUUGGAUCAUGACUUGCAAUGCCCCAGGGGUGUGAUUAUCUCAGGCAACUCACACUUUCUGUCAUGCCUAAUUGCUUAAUUAUUAUAGCUGCAAGUUCACACCACCAUACAGGAACUCAUGUUGUGUCAGCAUUUCCACUAUAAAUUCCUUUUUCAAGAGUCUAUAACUCAGCCAUAAAAAAAAAAAAAAAAAAAACCUAUGGUCCAUUGAAGCACUGCAGUAAGAGUCUUAUUCCAGGAAACAUUUCUGUAAUAGGUUAAUUGUAUCUUAAAAAUUGGGUCCUGAUUCUCAUAGUUAGUUCACCAAAGAAAUAAAUGCUAAUUAAAUGUCUCUAAAUUAUAUAUUUUUCUGUAUGGCUGGGUAAAUAAUGUAAAUCCUAAAGACAUAAAUAUUAUUUUUUAAAUAUAACAAGAAUGGCUCAUACAAUUUCCAGUUUUUUGGAAAUACACUUACACAUAUUUAUAAAAUAUUAUAUAAGUAGAAUGAGCUAAACCAUAGUUAGAGAACAUUGUCAUAUGCAAUCAUGUACUACAUAAUAUUUCAGUCAGUGGACAGCAUGUGGCAGUGGUCACAUAAGAUUAUAACGCAGCUGAAAAAUUCCUGUUGUCUAAUGACAUCAUGGCUGUCAUAACUGUCAUGGCCGUCAUGGCCAUCUGAACAUUGUAGUACAAUGUAUUCCUCAUGUGUUUGUGGUGAUGCUGAUGUAAACAAGCAUCUGCACUGCCAGUUGUAUAAAAGUGUAGCACAUACAAUUAUGUACAUACAAUUAUGCACACACAAUUAUGUACAACACAUAAUAUUUUAUAAUGACAAUAAACAAUUUUGUUACCGGUUUAUGUAUUCACUGUACUAUACCUUUCAUCAUUAUUUUAGAGUGUACUCUUUCUACUUAUAUAUAAAAAAAAGUUAAUUGUAAAACAGCCUCUAGCAGGUCCUUCAGGACAUAUUCCAGAAGAAGGCAUUGUUAUCAUAGGAGAUGACGGUUCCAUGCGUGUUAUUGCCCCUGAAGACCUUCCAGUGGGUCAAGAUAUGGAGGUGAAAGACAGUGAUAUUGAUGAUCCUGACCCUGCGUAGGCCAAGUUUUCUUGACUUCACUUAAUCUGCUGGAAGCUGAUCCUUUUCAUGUCCAUGUUUAAGGAAGCGUUGAAGGUCACGUCACUCAAAGCCAACAUCAGCAGGCAUCCUACCAAGAUAAUCUCUGAAGAGGUCAGAGGCACAAUUAUUACAAUUUAUUGUGGACAGGAAAACACAUGGAUGUUGAAUACCAGUUCCUGUGAAAGAUACUUGGGUUUCGGGAUAACAACAGUCCCAAGUCUUCAGAACAAAUCAACAGAAUUCAAUCAAGUAUUUCCUUGCACUUACUUGUUAUGACUUCUUAGUCUCUCCAGUCUGUGACAGUUACUCAUUUUCUCCCUGAUACAAGGACUACAACACUUUGGAAGGUGCUUGUCAGAAAUUUAUUCUCCUUAUAUACAUUCCUACACACAUGUGGAUGCUUUUAUUGAAACCAGUUCAUAGGUAUGUUUGUAUAAUCUUUAUACACAUAAAAUAUAUUUUUUUC